rnacentral:rRNA from 1 species
UACGUAGGGGUCGAGCGUUGUCCGGAAUCAUUGGGCGUAGAGCGCGUGUAGGCGGUUCGGUAAGUCGGCUGUGAAAGUCCAGGGCUCAACCCUGGGAUGCCGGUCGAUACUGCCGGACUAGAGUUCGGAAGAGGCGAGUGGAAUUCCCGGUGUAGCGGUGAAAUGCGCAGAUAUCGGGAGGAACACCAAUGGCGAAGGCAGCUCGCUGGGACGUUACUGACGCUGAGACGCGAAAGCGUGGGGAGCAAACAGG